AAGGUGUUGUUGUAACUGUUGGUGUCGGUGUACUAAUUGGAUUAAUUCUCUGGAAGUGGAUAAAAACAAACACAGGAGAACAGGAACUUCUGAAUCCACCACAGGAUGGUGAGAAGCAAACAGGUGAAGGAGAGCGACAGCUUGAGGAUUAAUCACAUCAUCAUCAGACGGACACCGAGUUUGUGAUUCUGAUGCCUGAUGGUGCCGCCUAUUCAAACCACUAGUCCGAAGUCCGGCACAUCUUGAUCCACCACUCAGGAAUCGAGGAAGACGAGCAUCAAGGGCGUCUGAAAGAGCCGAGCCGUUGGGAGGUGCACUCUUAGUGCAGCUCAGAAGCCCAGAUACAGUACAAGAAGAAGGAUUGCAUCAGGAAGGGCAUCUAGCGUAAAUACUGUGACAUGUAGACUGGAAGGAUCCGCUGUGGUGACUCCUAAAUACCGGAGCAGCCGAACAUGCAGUUUACAGUAUAGUUAAAUAUAAAACGUGAUCAAAAAUUUAGCUAAUUCAUUUAUAA